UGAGAGAGCACCUCUAUUUAUAAGUAACUAGAGAACCCUAAUUCUAGUCAAACUAGGAAACAUAUUCCAUAAGGAAAUAUCUUUUAAGGAAUAAAUCUAUCACAAGGUGGUUAGGAUUGUCUACGACUGUAAUUUUGAUUUCAGGAAUAAAUCUAUCACAAUCGUAAUCUAAUAUAGUCGCGUAUGGAUUUCGAGUGACCAAAACGACUGGCCAACAUAAGGUGGUUAGGAUUGUCUACGACUGUAAUUUUGAAACGGAGCCUUCGUAUAGAUUUAUGCUUACCAAACUUCAUGGCGCGGUGUACACUCUUGGAACUCGAACAUGGAGAAGCAUCACACCCGCUGCUUCGAUACGGUUCGACACGAUUGGGAUAUUUCUAAACGGAAAUCUUCACUAGUUGGUGGCAGAUCCAAACACCCCACCACAAAUUUGUUGCUUCGAUCUUGAAACAGAGCUUUUCAGCAACUUCUUUCACCCCCCUCUGGUCAAUGGAGAGUCUGUUGGGAGCUUGUCGGCUUUGGCGGGUAGCCUAUGCCUCUGUGAUAAUUCAUCUGAAGAAAAAAUCAUCAUCUGGGUGAUGGGGGAAUAUGGGGAUGAGACUUCUUGGACAAAGGAAUAUGUCAUCAACAGAGAUCUCGAUGUUUGUGGAGACUAUAUGAUUGUUUCCCCUAUUAAAAUUUUCGAAGAUGGUGACGUUCUGAUGGAAUAUGAAGAAUCCCUGCUGUUUUACUACUCCGACGAGAUGAAAACUAUAAGGAAGAUUGAGAUGUUUGAAGCUUGUAGUGGAAAUCAUAUUUGUGUUAAUGCAAUUCUCCACACCCCGAGCUUUCUGUCGCUGAGAAAUUUCGGAAAGGAGCUGGAACCAACUUUCACCGAGGAUCGCUAUGAGCUUUUAACUUAAUCUAGAAAAUUGGUGUAGGAAUAAAAUUGAACCAAAAGCAUCUUUGAUUUAUGGAUACAAGAGCCAUGGAGCAUCUGCUCAAGGAUGAAUCUCUGAUGGUAAGCACAUAAUAUUAUUGAGUUUAUGUUUUGAGAUGAACACCCUUAUGAUGACAUUGCAUAGUGACCAUGAUAAUAAUACAUGUAUAAUCCGAUCUAGGCCCCUCCAUUUUCUGAUCCAAUGGCUUAUAAUAGGUCUUUGCUUUGCACUUUGGGGCUAAUUUCAACCUAAUGUGACUCUGUCUCUA